CGCUCCUGGCCCCAGGGAGGGAGCGCACGGGCUCCUGCUGGGGCUUCCGCGCCUGCGUGCGCGUGGGAGAGUGUGUGAGCCUGAGUGUGUAAAUGAAGGAACUGGACUCGAUGGCCCCUCGGGACCCUUCCAGCACCAGACCCAAGUAUCCUGUGAAGCAAAUCAUUGCAGCCAGAGAAGGAAGAGAAGUGGAGAGGAAUCACCCUGAAAAGAUACUGGCAUCUAUUGUUAUAUCGAGAUGACUGGCAUUCGUGUCUAACGGUCUCGGCUCAGCCCGGAUGCCCUCUAUGGGUGCAGCAAAAGAACGAAGUAGCUGUUAUGUACCAUUGCAAGGUCACAACUUUCUAGGGCCUGCCAAAGAGUGGAAUACUGAAUCCCUGGAGUCUUUCAGUGUUCCCUCCUUCCCUCCACUCCUUGGUGAGCAUUGUCCUGACCUUGGGACUAGAGACCUGUAAUUGGCUGCCGUGACCCCUCCCACCGGGGGCUGCAGGGAGCCAUGGGGUUGGCAGUGGUGUGGAUGACGGAAGCCCCAGGGGAUGGUCACUCCAAGGCCCUGGAAGCCCUGAGCCGGAGACGGCCAGAAGAAAUCCCGAGGAAGACACGGGCAGAAUUUGCAUCGCCAGCAUGGACCAGCACUUCAGUCUUUCUUCCAUGAGUUCCCCAGUGAGGAAAAGUCUCCUCCUUACAAGCUUGUUCACCUUUCUGAGUUAAAUAUUUGCUUUGGCUUUUGAGCUCCACUUUGAUAAAAUCUG
rnacentral:lncRNA from 1 species